rnacentral:rRNA from 1 species
ACCGAGCAGGGUGUUUACCCGGCGGAGCCUUCCAUGCAAGUCGAACGGUACAGGUCUUCGGAUGCUGACGAGUGGCGAACGGGUGAGUAAUACAUCGGAACGUGCCCGAUCGUGGGGGAUAACGAGGCGAAAGCUUUGCUAAUACCGCAUAAGAUCUAUGGAUGAAAGCAGGGGACCGCAAGGCCUUGCGCGAACGGAGCGGCCGAUGGCAGAUUAGGUAGUUGGUGGGGUAAAGGCUUACCAAGCCUACGAUCUGUAGCUGGUCUGAGAGGACGACCAGCCACACUGGGACUGAGACACGGCCCAGACUCCUACGGGAGGCAGCAGUGGGGAAUUUUGGACAAUGGGCGCAAGCCUGAUCCAGCCAUGCCGCGUGCAGGAUGAAGGCCUUCGGGUUGUAAACUGCUUUUGUACGGAACGAAAAGCCUUCUUCUAAUAAAGGGAGGUCAUGACUGUACCGUAAGAAUAAGCACCGGCUAACUACGUGCCAGCAGCCGCGGUAAUACGUAGGGUGCAAGCGUUAAUCGGAAUUACUGGGCGUAAAGCGUGCGCAGGCGGUGAUGUAAGACAGAUGUGAAAUCCCCGGGCUCAACCUAGGAACUGCAUUUGUGACUGCAUCGCUGGAGUACGGCAGAGGGGGAUGGAAUUCCGCGUGUAGCAGUGAAAUGCGUAGAUAUGCGGAGGAACACCGAUGGCGAAGGCAAUCCCCUUGUGCCUGUACUGACGCUCAUGCACUAAAGCGUGGGGAGCCACACAGGGAUUAGAUACCUCUGUUAGUCCAU